ACGCCGCGUGGAGGAUGAAGGCCGUAAGGUUGUAAACUCCUGUUAGAGGGGAAGAACAGUGCCGAUUGGAUCGGUAUUUGACUGUACCCUCAGAGAAAGCCCCGGCUAACUACGUGCCAGCAGCCGCGGUAAUACGUAGGGGGCAAGCGUUGUCCGGAUUUACUGGGUGUAAAGGGCGCGCAGGCGGGAUAGCAAGUCAGAGGUGAAAUCCUACAGCUUAACUGUAGAACUGCCUUUGAUACUGUUAUUCUUGAGUUCGGGAGAGAGAGACGGAAUUCCAGGUGUAGUGGUGAAAUACGUAGAUAUCUGGAAGAACACCAGUUGCGAAGGCGGUCUCUUGGUCCGAUACUGACGCUGAGCGCGAAAACGUGGGGAGCAAACAGGAUUAGAUACCUGGUAGUCCACGCUGUAACGAUGAUACUAGGUGUUGGGUUUUUACUCAGUGCCGCACUACGCAUUAAGUAUUCCCCUGGGAAUCGAUCGCAAGGUUGA
rnacentral:rRNA from 1 species